AAUCAACCUGCCCUUCAGAGGGGGACAACAGUUGGAAACGACUGCUAAUACCGCAUACGAUCUAACCUCGGCAUCGAGGAAAGAUGAAAGGUGGCCUCUAUUUAUAAGCUAUCACUGAAGGAGGGGAUUGCGUCUGAUUAGCUAGUUGGAGGGGUAACGGCCCACCAAGGCGAUGAUCAGUAGCCGGUCUGAGAGGAUGAACGGCCACAUUGGGACUGAGACACGGCCCAGACUCCUACGGGAGGCAGCAUG
rnacentral:rRNA from 1 species